UGCUGAGCUGUUGUUGCUGCUAUGAUUGUUCUUGUCCUUCCAGAUGGUCCUGACCCCUUUGAAAUCAAGUUGGAGUCUGGCGUAUCCCGAGGGGAGGUAGUUGAAGUGAUAGAGGGCUCCACUGUGACCUUCUCCGUGGAAACACAGUCUCAUCCUCCCCCCGCCUAUACCUGGUUUCUCCCCUAUGACUCCAUCCCACCUCCCACCAUGAGUUCGUUCGCCAUCCAAGCUGUGUCCCGGGAACAUGAAGGCACGUACAGGUGCUUGGUAUCCAACGGUGCUACCCACCUGCUUCGCCUGGGUGCUCUUACAGUUCGAGUCCUUGAAACGCUGACCAAGCCUCACAUUGUGCCCCCAAGCCUGAAUCUCGUGGAAAAUGCCAGCUCCGUGGCCCUGACCUGCCAGACCCCCCAUGAGGGGGCUGGAGUCCUGUGCCUCCUGAGGGGCCAGGCUCUCCUGCCCAGCGAUCACCUGGUGCUGUCGGCUGACAACAGGAGCCUGGUCAUCCACGGCCUCCGGCGGGACGACACAGGACCCUAUGAGUGUGAGGUCUGGAACUGGGGCAGCCGGGCACGAAGCGAGCCCUUCAGGCUCGCCAUGAGCUACGGCCCUGACCGAGUGGACAUCACCAGCGGGUCUGCGCCCGGGGUGGUCGGCACCGUGGAGGCCGAGCUCAACUCCAGCCUGACCCUGCGGUGCCGGGCGGAGUCCCAGCCGGGCGCUGAGUUUCACUGGACCCUUGAACAGUCCACCGCUGUGCAUGCGGGGCAGGUGCUGAUCAUCCGGGCCCUGACCUGGGAGCACCAGGGGAUCUACGGCUGCACGGCCUCCAACCCGCUGACCCAGCUGGCCCGCUCUGCCUCGGUCCGGGUCAGAGUGGUAGGUCCCCAGUCAUCCCUGUCUGCAGGAGCCAUUGGUGGCAUUGCUAUCGGGAUCCUGGCUGUCAUUGCCCUGUCCGCAGGGCUGGGCUGUUUCCUCUACAUCAGAAAUGCCAGACGGUUCUCAAGGGAAAAAGCAGAGGACCCCAUCCAGGAGGCAGCAACACCCACCUCCGAGGAGGAGCCCCAUGCAGAGUCCUGUUCCAAUUGGCUGAGCCCCAUGUAUGCCAAUUUACCCAAAACUCAAGGACAGGUUGGAGUCAAAAAGGUGAGCAAUGCUCCAGAGGUCCCCCUCCCUGCUCCCCUGACUACCUGGCUCAUCCCCAGCCCAGUAGGGCUGUGUCAGUCCCACCUCUUGGGUUGGGGAGUGAGGCACGUUCUCUUGAGGAUACCCAGUGCUAGCUUGGGUCUCUGCAUCUCCUCCCCUGCCUUCUCUGGGGAUCCCAAGAUCCUCCCUGACUCUCUUCUCCUUUGUCUUCUAGCUCUUCAACAUGACAAUGUGCAGCUUUGAGCUCCUCUGGGAGUCAGGAGGGAUGUAAAUGCCUCCGAGGCCAAAGCUGUUUCUGGGAAUUUCUGGGGGCGGUCCCCAUCCCAAGCCCCAUGACCUCUUCACCACUUUCUUUUCCCCCAGAUGCUGCCACCAGCUCCCCCAGAGCAGUUUUAUGAGAAGGAGCCACCAUCAGUAACCCCCGAGAACGAUUCUCAUGGCCCCAGAAAACCAUCGCCCGAAGUUACAUUGGAUCCAUUGGUCCCCACUCUACCGAAAGGAAACGCAGAAU